UACGUAGGGUGCGAGCGUUAAUCGGAAUUACUGGGCGUAAAGCGUGCGCAGGCGGUUUUGUAAGCCAGAUGUGAAAGCCCCGGGCUCAACCUGGGAAUGGCAUUUGGGACUGCAAGGCUUGAGUGCGGCAGAGGAGACUGGAAUUCCUGGUGUAGCAGUGAAAUGCGCAGAUAUCAGGAGGAACGCCAAAAGCGAAGGCAGCUCUCUGGGUCCCUACCGACGCUGGGGUGCGAAAGCAUGGGGAGCGAACAGG
rnacentral:rRNA from 1 species